CACGGGGGUUGCGAGCGUUGUCCGGAAUUACUAGGCGUAAAGGGCAGGCAGGCGGAUCCAUAAGUUUAUCGUUUAAGGCGUCGGCUUAACCGGCAUAGGGCGGUAGAUACUGUGGAUCUGGAAUGCGGUUGGGGAAGACAGAAUUCCUGGUGUAGCGGUGGAAUGCGCAGAGAUCAGGAGGAAUACCGAAGGCGAAGGCAGUCUUCCAAGCCGUUAUUGACGCUCAACUGCGAAGGUGUGGGUAUCAAACAGGAUUAGAUACCCUGGUAGUCCCU
rnacentral:rRNA from 1 species